rnacentral:rRNA from 1 species
GCCCAGUGAAUAAUUAAACGGCCGCGGUACCCUAACCGUGCAAAGGUAGCGUAAUCAUUUGUCUAUUAAUUGUAGACCCGUAUGAAAGGCAUAAUGAGGGUUUAACUGUCUCUUUUAGUAUAUCAAUUAAACUGAUCUCCUAGUCCAAAAGCUAGGAUACCAACAUAAGACCAGAAGACCCUGUGAAACUUUAACUAAAAUAUUAAAGCCUAUAAUAACUACUUUAGGUUGGGGCGACCUUGGAAAAUAAAAGAACUUCCACACACAUAUUACAUAAUAAUAUAUAACCGGCCAACAAGCCUAUAACGACCCAGCACAGCUGAUAAUUGAACCAAGCUACUCCAGGGAUAACAGCGCUAUCUUCUUCAAGAGCCCAUAUCAAAAAGAAGGUUUACGACCUCGAUGUUGGAUCAGGACAUCCUAAUGGUGCAACCGCUAUUAAGGGUUCGUUUGUUCAACGAUUAAUAGUCCUACGUGAUCUGAGUUCAGACCGGA